rnacentral:lncRNA from 1 species
AAAACUUGGUUGGCUUGUUUGCUUUGUUUGUAUUGUUGUUAAUACAAGCUUUGUAAAUAAGAUUGACAUCUUUAAACAAUAUAUAUAGUCAUAGUUUAACCUGUAUAUAUAAUAUUUGAAUUUAAUUGGGUGUUAUCCUAAUGAUUGUACAAUAUAAAAACAAAGCAAGCAAGCUAACUUAAGUCUUGCUCUACAUGCUUUAGGAAAUUAGCUGUAA